rnacentral:rRNA from 1 species
GCGCUGCUCACGCUGAUCCCAAAGCGCGCCGACGUUGCCAGCCUGUUCGACUACAGGCCCAUCAGCCUAAUCCACCUCGUCGCCAAGAUCUUCGCGAAGAUGUUAUCUCUCCGCCUUGCGCCCAAGCUGAAUGACUUGAUAAGUCCCAUCCAGAAUGCCUUCAUCCCCGGGCGCAGCCUCCAUGACAAUUUCUUGAUCGUGCGGCAGUCGGCGCGCCUCCUCCACCAGCUGGGAGCACCGCGCAUCCUCCUCAAGCUCGACCUCACCCGCGCCUUCGACUCCGUCUCGUGGCCCUUUCUCUUCGAGGCCCUGCGUCGAUACGGAUUCGGCGACCGCUUCCUUGGC